AGCAUUUGAACGGUUCUCAACACUUGUCGGAUCAACGGUCAUACCCGGACAUCAACAUAUCUCUUCCUGCCCGAUAGAUAUUUUAGGUGAUUUGGAGGCUGACAUGAUAACAGAAUGAAACUAACUGGUACCUUUUGGCUUGACAACCAGAUUAUUUUGUUCUAGUGUAAUUUUCUUUGUAUUAGGAUAUUUGUGUGAAAUUAGAGAGGAAUGAGGACUCAUCUUUUUGUUUGAUCUCUAGUUCUUUAAUGUAUCAGAGACUAUCACCUAUUACUCGUAGAAGUUUGUUAAUUAAGGUUUGCUGUUUCACUUAUGCCCGCUCAUUCAUGAGUUUUCUCUCAGUAGCGUUCUGAGGCUAAUGGUACCUUUGACGCAUGAA